UACGUAGGGUGCAAGCGUUGUCCGGAAUCAUUGGGCGUAAAGAGCGUGUAGGCGGCUCGAUCAGUCCGCUUUAAAAGUCCAGGGCUCAACCCUGGGAUGCCGGUGGAUACUGUCGAGCUAGAGUCCGGAAGAGGCGAGUGGAAUUCCUGGUGUAGCGGUGAAAUGCGCAGAUAUCAGGAGGAACACCAAUGGCGAAGGCAGCUCGCUAAACAGACAUUGACGCUGAGGCACGAAAGCGUGGGGAUCAAACAGG
rnacentral:rRNA from 1 species